GACGGAGGGUGCAAGCGUUGCUCGGAAUCAUUGGGCGUAAAGGGUGCGUAGGCGGCUUCUUAAGUCUGACGUGAAAGCCCAGGGCCCAGCCCUGGAAGGGCGUCAGAAACUGAGAAGCUUGAGUGCCGGAGGGGAGAGUGGAAUUCCUGGUGUAGCGGUGAAAUGCGUAGAUAUCAGGAGGAAUACCGGUGGCGAAAGCGACUCUCUGGACGGCAACUGACGCUGAGGCACGAAAGCGUGGGUAGCAAACAGGAUUAGAAACCCCCGUAGUCC
rnacentral:rRNA from 1 species